rnacentral:tRNA from 1 species
CCGGGAUAGCUCAGUUGGUAGAGCAGAGGACWRAAAAUCCUCGUGCAC